UGAGCAGUAUUGCGCAGCGCUUGACUGGCAGUCAAGAGGUUGUGGGUUCGAAUCCCAUCUUCUCCA
rnacentral:tRNA from 1 species